AAUUUACAUACAAUAACAAUGAAACAGAUAAAAUAAACGGGAUAAAAUACAGAAUAUUGGCUUACUGAGAUGCAGCAGUUAUAUUCCAGCUGUGGGGACAGCUGAAGAUAUGGGCAGUCACUCCAA